CCAAUAGCGUAUAUUAAAGUUGUUGCAGUUAAAGAGCUCGUAGUUGAAUUUCGGGGUUCAUACGUUGGUCGGGCUUUUUGGUCUGUACUAGCGUAAUGGAUUCCUACCUUCUGAAUAACCGGCAUGUCAUUAAUUUGGUGCGCCGGGGAAGCAGGACUGUUACCUUGAAAAAAUUAGAGUGCUUAAAGCAGGCUAUCGCCUGAAUACAUUAGCAUGGAAUAAUGAAAUAGGACGGCAUGGUUCUAUUUUGUUGGUUUCUAGGAUCACCGUAAUGAUUAAUAGGGAUAGUUGGGGGCAUUAGUAUUCAAUUGUCAGAGGUGAAAUUCUUGGAUUUAUUGAAGACUAACUUCUGCGAAAGCAUUUGCCAAGGAUGUUUUCAUUAAUCAAGAACGAAAGUUAGGGGAUCGAAGACGAUCAGAUACCGUCGUAGUCUUAACCAUAAACUAUGCCGACUAGGGAUCGGACGAUGUUAAUUUUUUAAUGACUCGUUCGGCGCCUUACG
rnacentral:rRNA from 1 species